rnacentral:rRNA from 1 species
GAUGAACGCUGGCGGCGUGCCUAAUACAUGCAAGUCGAGCGAACAGACGAGGAGCUUGCUCCUCUGACGUUAGCGGCGGACGGGUGAGUAACACGUGGAUAACCUACCUAUAAGACUGGGAUAACUUCGGGAAACCGGAGCUAAUACCGGAUAAUAUAUUGAACCGCAUGGUUCCAUAGUGAAAGACGGUUUUGCUGUCACUUAUAGAUGGAUCCGCGCCGCAUUAGCUAGUUGGUAAGGUAACGGCUUACCAAGGCAACGAUGCGUAGCCGACCUGAGAGGGUGAUCGGCCACACUGGAACUGAGACACGGUCCAGACUCCUACGGGAGGCAGCAGGAGGGAAUCUGCCGCAAAGGGCGAAAGCCUGACGGAGCAACGCCGCGUGAGUGAUGAAGGUCGUCGGAUCGUAAAACUCUGUUAGUAGGGAAGAACAAAUGUGUAAGUAACUAUGCACGGCUGGACGGUACCUAAUCAGAAAGCCACGGCUAAGUACGGG